rnacentral:snRNA from 1 species
AAGUUUCCCUGAAGGGAGGGGUCAGAGGAGCUCCAGACUCAUCCACUGCACUCCAGAUGUGCUGAACUGUGCAGUUCCCCAAGUGUGAGAAUCUGGACCUUAUAACUUGUGGUAAUGGGGAUUGUGCAAGCUCUCCCCUUAC